rnacentral:rRNA from 1 species
UACGAAGGGGGCGAACGUUGUUCGGAAUUACUGGGCGUAAAGGGCGCGCAGGCGGCUCUGAAAGUCAGAUGUGAAAGCCCCGGGCUUAACCUGGGAACUGCAUUUGAUACUCUAGAGCUUGAGUACGGGAGAGGAGAGUGGAAUUCCCAGUGUAGAGGUGAAAUUCGUAGAUAUUGGGAAGAACACCGGUGGCGAAGGCGGCUCUCUGGACCGCAACUGACGCUGAGGCGCGAAAGCGUGGGGAGCAAACAGG